ACGGANCUCUUAAAGCUGUCUCAGUUCGGACUGCAGUCUGCAACUCGACUGCACGAAGCUGGAAUCGCUAGUAAUCGCGGAUCAGCACGCCGCGGUGAAUACGUUCCCGGGCCUUGUACACACCGCCCGUCACACCAUGGAAGUCUGCAAUGCCCGAAGCCGGUGGCCUAACCACUUAUGUGGAAGGAGCCGUCUAAGGCAGGGCAGAUGACUGGGGUGAAGUCGUAACAAGGUAGC
rnacentral:rRNA from 1 species